GCUGGGUGCAGUGGCGGUGCCUGUAGUACCAGCUACUUGGGAAGCUGCAGCAGGAGGAUCACUUGAGCCCAGGAAUUCUGGGCUGUGGUGUGCUAUGCCGGUUGGGUGUCCACACUGAGUUGGCAUCAUUAUGGUGACCUCCCUGGAGUGAGGGACCACCAGGUUGCUUCAGGAGGAGUGAAUGACCCAGGUCAGAAACAGAGCAGGUCAAAACUCCCAUGCCUAUCAGUAGUGGUAUUGUGCCUGUGCACUCCAGCCUGGGCAACUUAGUGAGACCCUAUCUCU
rnacentral:SRP_RNA from 1 species